rnacentral:rRNA from 1 species
CACGGGGGGAGCAAGCGUUGUUCGGAAUCACUGGGCGUGAAGGGCGUGUAGGCGGUCUGGUAAGUGGGAUGUGAAAGCCCCCGGCUCACCCGGGGAUCUGCAUUCCAAACUGCCAGACUUGAGUAUGGGAGAGGACAGGGGAAUUCCUGGUGUAGCGGUGAAAUGCGUAGAUAUCAGGAGGAACACCGGUGGCGAAAGCGCCUGUCUGGCCCAAUACUGACGCUGGAUGACGCGAAAGCUAGGGGAGCAAACGGG